GGGUGAACGCUGGCGGCGUGCCUAACACAUGCAAGUCGUGCGGGUAUCCGCAAGGGUACCAGCGGCGCACGGGUGAGUAACACGUGGGUAAUCUACCCCUCGGAGGGGGAUAACCGGGGGAAACCCCGGCUAAUACCCCAUACGAUCCAACGACGACGGUCGUUGGAUGAAAGGAGCGUUUGCUUCGCCGAGGGAUGAGCCCGCGUCCCAUCAGGUAGUUGGUGGGGUAACGGCCCACCAAGCCUACGACGGGUAGCCGGCCUGAGAGGGUGGCCGGCCACAAGGGCACUGAGACACGGGCCCUACUCCUACGGGAGGCAGCAGUGGGGAAUCUUGGACAAUGGGCGAAAGCCUGAUCCAGCGACGCCGCGUGGGGGAUGAAGCCCUUCGGGGUGUAAACCCCUGUUGCGAGGGAGGAAUAAGGCCUGGAGGAAAUGCCAGGCCGAUGACUGUACCUCGCGAGAAAGCCCCGGCUAACUACGUGCCAGCAGCCGCGGUAAUACGUAGGGGGCAAGCGUUACCCGGAUUCACUGGGCGUAAAGCGGGUGUAGGCGGCUCGGUAAGUCGGGUGUGAAAUUCCACGGCUCAACCGUGGAAUUGCGCCCGAAACUGCUGAGCUUGGGGCCCGGUAGAGGGAGACGGAACUGCCGGUGUAGGGGUGAAAUCCGUAGAUAUCGGCAGGAACGCCGGUGGGGAAGCCGGUCUCCUGGGCCGCGCCCGACGCUGAGGCCCGAAAGCUAGGGGAGCAAACCGGAUUAGAUACCCGGGUAGUCCUAGCCGUAAACGAUGCCCACUAGGUGUGGGGGAUUAAUUCCUCCGUGCUGUAGCUAACGCGUUAAGUGGGCCGCCUGGGGAGUACGCCCGCAAGGGUGAAACUCAAAGGAAUUGGCGGGACCCCGCACAAGUGGUGGAGCGCGUGGUUUAAUUGGAUGCUGAGCCAAGAACCUUACCAGGGCUUGACAUGCAGGUGGUACCGACCCGAAAGGGGAGGGACCCCAUCCUUUUGGGUGGGGAGCCUGCACAGGUGGUGCACGGCCGUCGUCAGCUCGUGCCGUGAGGUGUUGGGUUAAGUCCCGCAACGAGCGCAACCCCUGCCCUUAGUUGCCAACGGUUCGGCCGGGCACUCUAAGGGGACCGCCGGCGACGAGCCGGAGGAAGGAGGGGACGACGUCAGGUACUCGUGCCCUUUAUGCCCUGGGCUACACACGCGCUACAAUGGGUGGUACAAUGGGUUGCGACCCCGCGAGGGGGAGCCAAUCCCUAAAACCACCCCCAGUUCGGAUCGCAGGCUGCAACCCGCCUGCGUGAAGCCGGAAUCGCUAGUAAUCGCGGAUCAGCAUGUCGCCGUGAAUGCGUUCCCGGGCCUUGCACUCACCGCC
rnacentral:rRNA from 1 species